CUGUGUAAGCUUUUUAUUAUUUUGAAUGUAUGAGCUGAAUGUUAGAUUAGAAAGAGAUUGAAUAUGAUAUAUAAAUUGAUAUAUAUAUAUAAAUAUGAGUAUACAAAAGUUGAUAAUCAGACAAUCAUGUUCGUGACAAAUAUUUCACGCAAUAUAUAAUUAAUGUUUCAAAUAUGAUUCAUUUCAGAGAAAAGACAAUAACUAAUGGC
rnacentral:lncRNA from 1 species